rnacentral:rRNA from 1 species
UCGCCCCUACGGCAGGCAGCAGUGGGGAAUAUUGCACAAUGGGGGAAACCCUGAUGCAGCGACGCCGCGUGAAGGAAGAAGUAUUUCGGUAUGUAAACUUCUAUCAGCAGGGAAGAAAAUGACGGUACCUGACUAAGAAGCCCCGGCUAACUACGUGCCAGCAGCCGCGGUAAUACGUAGAGGGCAAGCGUUAUCCGGAUUUACUGGGUGUAAAGGGAGCGUAGGCGGUGCAGCAAGUCAGAAGUGAAAGCCCGGGGCUCAACUCCGGGACUGCUUUUGAAACUGUUGAACUAGAUUGCAGGAAA